CAUAAGGGUGGUCGGCUAAGCUCCCGUUGAAAGGGGGUGAUGCCUAUAUGACGAUUUAUGAAAGUCUUGUAAUUAUGCUUUCGUUUGCGUCGCUUGUUGUUGCGAUUUUAUCUUUUGACAACAAUAAAAAAUAGACCUCCCUUUCUCUGCUAAAGUCGGGUGAGGUCUAUCUUAUCUUAGGCUGAUCCUCUUAGUGGGACCAAUUCUAUUGCUAGGCCGUAGAUGCUCGCAACAUCU
rnacentral:sRNA from 1 species